rnacentral:lncRNA from 1 species
GGAAGAAAAAAUCAGUACAACCCGUCUCUAGGAAGGAGUGAUUGGUCUGAUCUUCAGUGGUGUGAGAAGACCUAUUUUGAUCCAAACCAGGGUCUUAGGCUGGGUUAUUUCCAACCCAGGUCAAACAGUUGAUCGUAAGAUGUUUUUUUGGCUUAUGUGCCAUCUUGUGGAUGUGUGGCUGAUUUCUGCCUCAGAUGUGGGCCACUGUCCUGACCCCUUGCUGGUAACUGAUGAAUUCAGUUCCUUGGAGCCUGUGAACGUGAAUGACACUUUCAUGUUUAAAUGCAAUGAGCAUUGCAUCCUCAAGGGCAGCAAUUGGAGCCAGUGCCGAGAAAACCACAUCUGGGUGACUCACUCUCCUGUCUGCAAAAGCAGAGACUGUGGCCCUCCUGAGACUCCAACUCAUGGCUAUUUUGAAGGAAGAGAUUUUAAGUCAGGAUCUACCAUCACUUAUUACUGUGAAGCAAGGUACCACCUGGUGGGCACACAGCACCAACAGUGCAUUGAUGGGGAGUGGACCAGUGCCCCUCCCAUCUGUGAGUUGAUCCAAGAAGCUCCCAAACCUGCCGAGUUAGCGUUGGAGAAGGCACUUCUUGCCUUUCAGGAGAGUAAGGAACUUUGCAAAGCCAUAAAGAAAUUUACACAAAGAUUAAAGAAAAGUGACUUGACAAUGGAGAAAGUAAAAUAUUUUCUGGAAAGAAAGAAGGCUAAAUUGAAGGCAAAAAUGUUGCCCUUGAGCAGACUGGGUAGUAGAAAUACUCCCAUGAAUAAAAUUUUCUCUUGGUUCUGA